CGUUUCACAAUUCUUGGUACCUAA
rnacentral:piRNA from 1 species